GUUAGUCCACAAUGUGCAGAUGAAAGUGGAAAAAGUGACCGACAUUUGAGCACGCCUCUAUUGAGAAUUGGUAUCAUGAGUAUGAAAAGUAUUGCUCUUUGCCUCUCUUCCUCUCUGUCUUGCUCUCUGCCUCUCUCCCAAGCCCCAAGUUCAAACGGGCAAAUCUUGAAACCCAGCAAGCGUUUUCUUUAAAUUGGUUGCAAUGGCUGCUCAAAUCCAGAUUUCCAUUUUCCAAGUGCAACUCAGCAAUUGGAAGGUGGAUAUGCAAGUCAAUCUCGAUCAGAAAUGAAAAACAAGAAAGAAAAAAAUUGAUUCCAAAUUUCCAGGUUUUAUUGUUCUAUCACUUCUAUCAGUUCUAUCACUUCUAUGCUAAAGUGUUUAUCAUUCAAAGUUUAGUAUUUUGCUUUCUUGUUUGAGUAUUGUCUAGCUAGUUUCAUUGUUUCAAUAAUGUUUCCUCGGAAACAACUCUCGGGUUCUCAAAAAAGAAAAAGAAAGAAAAGAGAAGAAGAAAUUAUUCAAUCUCAACGGGGAUCUUUAGAUAAAUAUUUUGUUAAGCCUAUAUUUCCUGUAAAACGUCAUGUUUGCAGAAAAAGACAUUUUGAUGAAAUUCCAAAUACUGAAAGAGAACAACAAUCUGCUCAAGAGUCCUUUAGAACUGAUUACUUUUUUAUUUUAGUUGAUAUGGCUCUUUCUCAAUUAAAAAGCAGGUUUGAACAAAUGAAAACUUUUGAAUCUAUUUUUGGCUUCUUAUUUGAUGCAUCAAAGUUAGCUCACUUGGAUGAUGAUGAAUUGAAAAGUUAUUGUUUGAAUCUUGAAAAUGCUUUGAGAAAGGGUGAUGGUUCUGAUAUUGAUGCGAAAUAUGUUACAAAUUUUGCAGGAGAUGCUGCCAAAUGAGGCAUAUGAAAAAGAUAGGCCUUGGACAUCCAUUCAAAUUAUGGAGUUUGCUCCUAAAAAAAGAUUUAGAGUAUGACAUUUGAGGCUAGUUGGGCACAAAUUUUUUUUUUCGCCCUGGGCAUCAAAAAGCUCAGGACCGGCCCUGACUAUCAAUUGAGUCGUUGAGGUCAUUCGGGUCAACUUCAGAACUCUCCCCUGAAUAUGCAAUUGUUGAUUCAUUCAAACAUUACAAUUCCAGACGAAAAAAGAAAAGAAAUAUCUACUAACUACCCAGUAAUUUUUUCAAAACAAAAAACCAAAAAAAAAAAUCAAA